AUAUGCUGUUUACCCAGCAGAAAAUGGGUACCCGGUGGGACCAGUCAUACGACUAUUAUCCUUCUGGCAUCUCACAGGCAGCUUGGGGUAUGUGGGGUAAUAAC